rnacentral:rRNA from 1 species
UCCAGACUCCUACGGGAGGCAGCAGUGGGGAAUAUUGGACAAUGGGGGGAACCCUGAUCCAGCGACGCCGCGUGAGUGAAGAAGUAUUUCGGUAUGUAAAGCUCUAUCAGCAGGGAAGAAAGAAAUGACGGUACCUGACUAAGAAGCCCCGGCUAACUACGUGCCAGCAGCCGCGGUAAUACGUAGGGGGCAAGCGUUAUCCGGAUUUACUGGGUGUAAAGGGAGCGCAGACGGCAGUGCAAGUCUGGAGUGAAAGCCCGGGGCCCAACCCCGGAACUGCUCUGGAAACUGUGCGGCUAGAGUACUGGAGGGGCAGGCGGAAUUCCUAGUGUAGCGGUGAAAUGCGUAGAUAUUAGGAGGAACACCAGUGGCGAAGGCGGCCUGCUGGACAGUAACUGACGUUGAGGCUCGAAAGCGUGGGGAGCAAACAGGAUUAGAUACCCGCGUA